rnacentral:rRNA from 1 species
UACGUAGGGGGCAAGCGUUGUCCGGAUUUAUUGGGCGUAAAGCGCGUGUAGGCGGUCAGGUAAGUCCGUUGUGAAAACUCGAGGCUCAACCUCGAGACGCCGAUGGAAACCAUCUGACUAGAGUCCGGAAGAGGAGAGUGGAAUUCCUGGUGUAGCGGUGAAAUGCGCAGAUAUCAGGAAGAACACCCGUGGCGAAGGCGGCUCUCUAGUACGGUACUGACGCUGAGACGCGAAAGCGUGGGGAGCGAACAGG